rnacentral:rRNA from 1 species
GAUGAACGCUGGCGGCGUGCCUAAUACAUGCAAGUCGAGCGAACAGACGAGGAGCUUGCUCCUCUGACGUUAGCGGCGGACGGGUGAGUAACACGUGGAUAACCUACCUAUAAGACUGGGAUAACUUCGGGAAGCCGGAGCUAAUACCGGAUAAUAUAUUGAACCGCAUGGUUCAAUAGUGAAAGACGGUUUUGCUGUAACUUAUAGAUGGAUCCGCGCCGCAUUAGCUAGUUGGUAAGGUAACGGCUUACCAAGGCAACGAUGCGUAGCCGACCUGAGAGGGUGAUCGGCCACACUGGAACUGAGACACGGUCCAGACUCCUACGGGAGGCAGCAGUAGGGAAUCUUCCGCAAUGGGCGAAAGCUUGACGGAGCAACGCCGCGUGAGUGAUGAAGGUCUUCGGAUCGUAAAACUCUGUUAUUAGGGAAGAACAAAUGUGUAAGUAACUAUGCACGUCUUGACGGUACCUAAUCAGAAAGCCACGGCUAACUACGUG